CUCUCCUGGAAAACGGGUGGUAAUGCCGGAUGUUCCAGUUGAUCGCAUGGUCUUCUGGGAAAGCUUUCGCGGUAUGGGAUGGGGUCGCGUCCUAUCAGCUUGACGGCGGGGUAACGGCCCACCGUGGCUUCGACGGGUAGCCGGCCUGAGAGGGCGACCGGCCACAUUGGGACUGAGAUACGGCCCAGACUCCUACGGGAGGCAGCAGUGGGGAAUAUUGCACAAUGGGCGCAAGCCUGAUGCAGCGACGCCGCGUGAGGGAUGGAGGCCUUCGGGUUGUAAACCUCUUUUAUCGGGGAGCAAGCGUGAGUGAGUUUACCCGUUGAAUAAGCACCGGCUAACUACGUGCCAGCAGCCGCGGUAAUACGUAGGGUGCAAGCGUUAUCCGGAAUUAUUGGGCGUAAAGGGCUCGUAGGCGGUUCGUCGCGUCCGGUGUGAAAGUCCAUCGCUUAACGGUGGAUCCGCGCCGGGUACGGGCGGGCUUGAGUGCGGUAGGGGAGACUGGAAUUCCCGGUGUAACGGUGGAAUGUGUAGAUAUCGGAAAGAACACCAC
rnacentral:rRNA from 1 species